ensembl:lncRNA
CUUUAUUUCAGUUGCUGCUGAUGAGCUAGCCCCAGGCUGCACAGACUCGCUCACCGGCCAACUUCAUAUCCUGUCUGUGUUUGAUGUAGUUCAUCUGAAUUUCUCAUCCCGAGCACAACAAGGAGGACCACUGCCAAGUGCUCUCCAAGGCACUAGAGACGGAGCUGGACGCUGAGCAGGAGGCAAGAAACUUAUUGAAGAGCAGUGUGCCAGUUCCAUCUGAAGCCAAAGUCAUAACAGAACAGCCGGCGUGUUUGACAGAUGGGAAGGCUCGAUGGCUUGAAGCUUCCCUGUGAGGAGCUGGCAACCUGUCCAGAAGCACCCUGCCUCUUAGACCGAGCGUCUGCACCUCACGAUGAAUCCUUCAAGUUGUGCUAAUGUCGUCAUGAAAUCUAUUUUUGAGAGCUGACCAGAAAACAUGAACGCCA